UGAAAAUUGAAGGCAUGAAGCCCGCAUCACUUACACUUUCAUGAGUUUCAUCAAAAAAGUGAAACCUUUUUCUCAUUCAUCAGAAAAAAAAAGUGAAACCUCCAUCAAACCUCCAUAGCAAAACCUUCAUCAUCCGCUUAUUGUUCAGCUCCACCGCCGCUCUACUGCUGCUCCACCGCCGCUCUACCGCUGCUCCACCACCGCUCUACUGCCGCUCCACUUUUGCAGUACCGGACCUGUCUGCUGAGCCACAAGUAAAUCGAGUUGUGGUUUGCAGAAGAUGUUAGAGGUGACUAUUGUGGUUUUUGUCUAAAUUUGCUUGUCACCUCCUUGUGAUAGAGUUGGUUUCUGUGGUAGUGAAUGAGAUGGAGAUGGUUUAGGCUGUGCUGGCGCCACUCCUGCUGGAUGGAAAGGGGGCCGCUGUGCAGGUGGCUGAGAUGGUACUUGGGUCUCUUGGCUGGGACGUGGAGCAACAGGUGCUUGCUGAGGUGUAUUUUAAGCAAGUUCCUCCUACAUAUUCUCAACAAAUGAUCGAGGAGCUUAAGGAAAGGUGGAUUGCAUAUGUUACAGGAAGCCAUCAACCAAAUGACAACGAUGAUGAUAUAUGUGAAUUUUAGAUCAAUAUGGUAUUGGUAUAUCUAAGCAUAAUUUUUAUUAAAUCAACAUUAAUUAGAAAAGUGUUUUGAUAUUUAACUCACGUAUUUGUUUGUAUAAAUUUUUUUUUGUAUGAAUGAUUCAAUUUAAUUGUGGCUGGAUGUUUUAAUUUUAUAUAUGAGGUAUAUUCUGAUUGCUUUGUCGUA